GACACUCCUACGGGAGGCAGCAGUGGGGAAUAUUGCACAAUGGGCGCAAGCCUGAUGCAGCCAUGCCGCGUGUGUGAAGAAGGCCUUCGGGUUGUAAAGCACUUUCAGUCGUGAGGAAGGUGGUAGUGUUAAUAGCACUAUCAUUUGACGUUAGCGACAGAAGAAGCACCGGCUAACUCCGUGCCAGCAGCCGCGGUAAUACGGAGGGUGCGAGCGUUAAUCGGAAUUACUGGGCGUAAAGCGCAUGCAGGUGGUUUGUUAAGUCAGAUGUGAAAGCCCCGGGGCUCAACCUCGGAAUAGCAUUUGAAACUGGCAGACUAGAGUACUGUAGAGGGGGUAGAAUUUCAGGUGUAGCGGUGAAAUGCGUAGAGAUCUGAAGGAAUACCGGUGGCGAAGGCGGCCCCCUGGACAGAUACUGACACUCAGAUGCGAAAGCGUGGGGAGCAAACAGGAUUAGAUACCCUGGUAG
rnacentral:rRNA from 1 species